rnacentral:rRNA from 1 species
UUAAGCGACUAAGCGUACACGGUGGAUGCCCUGGCAGUCAGAGGCGAUGAAGGACGUGCUAAUCUGCGAUAAGCGUCGGUAAGGUGAUAUGAACCGUUAUAGCCGACGAUUUCCGAAUGGGGAAACCCAGUGUGUUUCGACACACUAUCGUUAAGUGAAUACAUAGCUUAACGAAGCGAACCGGGGGAACUGAAACAUCUAAGUACCCCGAGGAAAAGAAAUCAACCGAGAUUCCCCUAGUAGCGGCGAGCGAACGGGGAGCAGCCCAGAGUCUGAAUCAGCGUAUGUGUUAAUGGAACGGUCUGGAAAGUCCGGCGAUACAGGGUGAUAGCCCCGUACAUGAAAGCACAUAUGUUGUGAACUCGAAGAGUAGGGCGGGACACGUGGUAUCCUGUCUGAAUAUGGGGGGACCAUCCUCCAAGGCUAAAUACUCCUGACUGACCGAUAGUGAACCAGUACCGUGAGGGAAAGGCGAAAAGAACCCCGGCGAGGGGAGUGAAAUAGAACCUGAAACCGUGUACGUACAAGCAGUGGAGCACCUUUAUGGUGUGACUGCGUACCUUUUGUAUAAUGGGUCAGCGACUUAUAUUCUGUAGCAAGGUUAACCGUAUAGGGGAGCCGAAGGGAAACCGAGUCUUAACUGGGCGUUAAGUUGCAGGGUAUAGACCCGAAACCCGGUGAUCUAGCCAUGGGCAGGUUGAAGGUUGGGUAACACUAACUGGAGGACCGAACCGACUAAUGUUGAAAAAUUAGCGGAUGACUUGUGGCUGGGGGUGAAAGGCCAAUCAAACCGGGAGAUAGCUGGUUCUCCCCGAAAGCUAUUAGGUAGCGCCUCGUGAACUCAUCUUCGGGGGUAGAGCACUGUUUCGGCUAGGGGUCAUCCCGACUUACCAACCGAUGCAAACUACGAAUACCGAAGAAUGUUAUCACGGGAGACACACGGCGGGUGCUAACGUCCGUCGUGAAGAGGAAACAACCCAGACCGCCAGCUAAGGUCCCAAAGUCACAGUUAAGUGGGAAACGAUGUGGGAAGGCUCAGACAGCCAGGAUGUUGGCUUAGAAGCAGCCAUCAUUUAAAGAAAGCGUAAUAGCUCACUGGUCGAGUCGGCCUGCGCGGAAGAUGUAACGGGGCUAAACUGUGCACCGAAGCUGCGGCAGCGACACUAUGUGUUGUUGGGUAGGGGAGCGUUCUGUAAGCCGUUGAAGGUGCCUGUGAGGGUUGCUGGAGGUAUCAGAAGUGCGAAUGCUGACAUAAGUAACGAUAAUGCGGGUGAAAAACCCGCACGCCGGAAGACAAGGGUUCCUGUCCAACGUUAAUCGGGCAGGGUGAGUCGACCCUAAGGCGAGGCCGAAAGGCGUAGUCGAUGGGAAACAGGUUAAUAUUCCUGUACUUGGUGUUACUGCGAAGGGGGACGGAGAAGGCUAUGUUAGCCGGGCGACGGUUGUCCCGGUUUAAGCAUGUAGCGGAGAGUUUAGGUAAAUCCGGACUCUUAUUAACGCUGAGGUGUGAUGACGAGCACUACGGUGCUGAAGUAACAAAUGCCCUGCUUCCAGGAAAAGCCUCUAAGCAUCAGGUAACAUCAAAUCGUACCCCAAACCGACACAGGUGGUCAGGUAGAGAAUACCAAGGCGCUUGAGAGAACUCGGGUGAAGGAACUAGGCAAAAUGGUGCCGUAACUUCGGGAGAAGGCACGCUGAUAUGUAGGUGAAGUGGUUUACCCAUGGAGCUGAAAUCAGUCGAAGAUACCAGCUGGCUGCAACUGUUUAUUAAAAACACAGCACUGUGCAAACACGAAAGUGGACGUAUACGGUGUGACGCUGCCCGGUGCCGGAAGGUUAAUUGAUGGGGUUAGCGGCAACGCGAAGCUCUUGAUCGAGCCCCGGUAAACGGCGGCCGUACUAUAACGUCCUAAGGUAGCGAAAUUCCUUGUCGGGUAAGUUCGACCUGCACGAAAUGGCGUAAUGAUGGCAGGCUGUCUCCACCCGAGACUCAGUGAAAUUGAACUCGCUGUGAAGAUGCAGUGUACCCGCGGCAAGACGGAAAGACCCGUGAACCUUUACUAUAGCUUGACACUGAACACUGGUCCUUGAUGUGUAGGAUAGGUGGGAGGCUUUGAAGUGUGGACGCCAGUCUGCAUGGAGCCAACCUUGAAAUACACCUUUAAUGGUGGUGUUCUAACGUAGACCCGUAAUCGGGUUGCGACAGUGGUCUGGUGGUAGUUUGACUGGGCGGUCUCCUCCUAAAGAGUAACGGGAGCACGAAGGUUAGCUAAUCCUGGUCGGACAUCAGGAGGUUAGUGCAAUGGCAUAAGCUAGUUGACUGCGAGAGUGACGGCUCGAGCAGUGCGAAAGCAGGUCAUAGUGAUCCGGUGGUUCUGAAUGGAAGGCCAUCGCUCAACGGAUAAAAGGUACUCGGGGAUAACAGGCUGAUACCGCCCAGAGUUCAU